rnacentral:ncRNA from 1 species
GACGCCGUUUACGCCCCGGCACCGUCUACUGGCAAGGCCGCCCGCAACGACACGGGGCGGAGAGAGACGAGAGGA